rnacentral:sRNA from 1 species
GUAUUUUAGCAGUCCAUUCCAAAGACAACUAUAAACGAGUGACUGGGACAAGUUUUGGGAAUAUGAUUUAUAAGGAGAAGCGAGAAUCUGUUAGUAAAGAAGAUCUGGCAAGAGCUACUUUAGUUACUAUCACCAAUAACAUUGGUUCUGUGGCACGAAUGUGUGCUGUUAAUGAGAAGAUAAACAGAGUUGUCUUUGUUGGAAACUUUUUACGUGUCAAUACCCUCUCAAUGAAACUUUUGGCAUAUGCACUGGAUUACUGGUCAAAAGGUCAACUAAAAGCAUUGUUUCUAGAACAUGAGGGAUACUUUGG